rnacentral:lncRNA from 1 species
AGUCCUGAUACAGAAGAAAUCGGCCAUACAGAAGAAUCGUUAUUCAUUAGUCAUCAUCAACAUCAUCAGCUAGAGGAAUAACAUUACAGUAGACCAUAAUGAACCACCAAAGUCUUCUGUUUUGGAGCAGUUUCUCCAAGUUCGGGAUUACUACAUAAUCCAUGGAAUUAUUAUUACACAAAGUCGACACACAAAGCUUACUUGAAACACACUAGCUACCCUAGAAGACUCAAAGCGCAAUUGCCGGCCAGGAAAAUAGUCCGGCGAAAGUGACAAAAUUCACGACCAGCAUCAUGCUAAGAGUGCUUUGAAAAGAACAGCAUCAAUUUCCCUUCCAUGUCAUCCUGAACGCACAAAAUCAAAGGUUUCAGGUAAAGAACAACGAUGCUUGAUACAGUGCAAUACCAAUACUCCCCCAAAGUCUUACCUUUUGAGAUCUCACACAGGGACUAAGCAUAUGAUGCCUUAAUUCAAGCCAAACACCUUCUUCCGUCGCUCCAACACAUCCAAUAAGAAUGUCACUCCUUCCUUAAGCGUUGCCUUUCUCCCAUCCUUGUAGUUCCACACUU